rnacentral:rRNA from 1 species
CUACGGGUCGCUCCAGUGGGGAAUAUUGCACAAUGGGCGCAAGCCUGAUGCAGCCAUGCCGCGUGUAUGAAGAAGGCCUUCGGGUUGUAAAGUACUUUCAGCGGGGAGGAAGGGAGUAAAGUUAAUACCUUUGCUCAUUGACGUUACCCGCAGAAGAAGCACCGGCUAACUCCGUGCCAGCAGCCGCGGUAAUACGGAGGGUGCAAGCGUUAAUCGGAAUUACUGGGCGUAAAGCGCACGCAGGCGGUUUGUUAAGUCGGAUGUGAAAUCCCCGGGCUCAACCUGGGAACUGCAUCUGAUACUGGCAAGCUUGAGUCUCGUAGAGGGGGGUAGAAUUCCAGGUGUAGCGGUGACAUGCGUAGAGAUCUGGAGGAAUACCGGUGGCGAAGGCGGCCCCCUGGACGAAGACUGACGCUCAGGUGCGAAAGCGUGGGGAGCAAACAGGAUUAGAUACCCUAGUAGUC